AGGAACUUAGGUUAAAGAAACAUUAGUCGUUCCGACGAUUCAAAUGAAAAAGCGGCGAAAAUAAACAAUCGUUGGCUUCGAAAAUUUGAGUUAGUGUUACCAAGCUUCGCUUAUACAAGCUAAACGUCGUGUUCUUCCAACCUAAUCGAAUCGUCAACGGCCCUGGUGAUUUGAUCUACUGGAAGCAAUCUCUUUGAGAUUUUUCGUUUACCACCUGUUUUGCAAUUGAGAAAGCUUCCGGGAUGUUGAAUGAAACCACGGAUGCACCAUAUCUUCAUGAGGCGCAUAGCGGUGGGGUGGUCGCAGAGUCAGUUGUUGCGGAGCUGGAUGGUUGGUUCUGAUGAAAAUGAAGAAACACGAAGAAAAAUAAGAGAAUAAAGUCAACGCUGUUCUGCAUAUGGAACGUGGACCCAGAACGCCCGGGCGUCACUCACAUUGGUACUUCGUAUUACCCAUAUUUAGUGGGUCUCUGUAGAAAUAUUGCUACACAAUUCGCUUGUUCAGCACAUGAAGACGAUUGUUCCCCUCAAUACUGACUAAUUAUCAUCUUGAUAAAAAUUCCUUGGGGACGUACAGCUGAAAGUAGCGAAUUCGCCAGAGAUCAUUUAGGCAAGAAAAGCAGCAGCCAAUAUUACAAGAUAGUUUCACAAUGUAGUUUGUUUACCGAACCCCGAGGUUCCGGUUUUCGCUUACUGUCAACGUUCUAUCCGCCAUGACAUUAAAAUCUGUCUGCCUAUACACAAACACGUGUAAAGUACUUUCAUGCCUGCCCCAUAGCUCAUCCUAAUAAUACUGGAUGACACUAAAAACAACGAGAAAUAACUUACUCUCAUAGCCGUAUUGCUAAUUUUUUUUAAUGAAAAAACCGUUAUGAUUGAUGUGAGAAGGGUGAUGCGUUUGAAGUAUGUACAUCAGGAUAUUACAUGUUAUUAUCGAAAUUAAGUUUACCACCAAACUCUGGUCCUAAUUCGAGGGAUCAUACAGCAACGAUCGGCGGAUCUAAAUUUCAUUUCUCGAAAAAAAGGAGCAGAUGACAAAGAAGUAGUGCCACGAGGGAGAAAAGGAGAAUAUGAAGGGCGAACCAUAAGGCAGUUAUGCCGUAGCGAUCUCUGUGGCAAGGGACACUGCCGAAUUCUUGGUAACGAGAGGAGAUCGCACCUAAUUUAUGUGGCGUCUGCAUAACUUAAAUUUGUUGCCACGCUUGACCUAGGCAUUGAAACUAACUGUGAAUCACAUACGUACAGCUCUGAUCGGGCAGCUCUCUGAUGUCAUCGUAUGUGGUGCUCUCUGCUGUUCAGGGUUGUCGAAAGAAUAUAGAAGUACCGCAAAAAGAUGUGCCUAAGUGUUCCGAACAAUGAAGCGCGAAAUUGUAAAUUUUAUGAUAAAAUUUCGAUCUAGUGAAUGGAUUUCCGUGACACAGGCAUUACUUGUAGAAGGACAUCGUUUAUGCGAGCAUUUAGAAAAAAGAAUGAGUGGGAGAUGCAAAGAUCGAGAAUUAACGAGACUUGUCGCAGUUGGUACCAGCAGAGAACGGCUCAGACACGAACACAGGCCGGCCGCGGGGUGAAAUAGGAUAACUUGCGUGCUAUCCUAAGGCCAAGCAAGGAAGAAGAGACAGAAAGAGGCUACAGGAGCGAGAUACAUGCAGCAGGCAAAAACGUAUUAUCAGAGGACAGGACAGUGGAGGCCUGAUAUAGAAAAAGAGACACAGUGGGUCCGUAGAGAAAUAAGAGGGGGUUAACUGGCUAAAUGGCCUUUGAUAGUGGCUGUGGGUAAGGGCCGAGGAUCGGUAAAGCUGAACGUUAUCCAUCGCAUGCUAAAGCGCUGCAUCAAUCUUAUUAUUAUGACUUUACUUCGGGGCGAUUAAACUAAGCGAAGGAAGAGGCAAAAACAUUGGAGAACUGCACAAACGUUCCAUGCGAAAAAUAUUUAACGGGAUUAGGUAGCCCUAGAUAUACUUGUUAAAUGAGAAGAUCAAACGGAAAGAGAGCAGGAGAGACCUGGAAUUGUUCGUAGACAGGUAAGUAAUUUAUCUUUGUGCCAUAGUUGAUCUCUUCAGCAUGGUUAAGCGCGUUAUGUACUGGCGUAAACAAAUGUCCUUUUCAUGCUUUUACUGAUGCCUUGAUGAGCUUGCCCUUAGUACCGAUGUAACAAAUAUACUCAGCGGUCGACACUUCCUGUAGACUUCACUGCAGUACCUAGCUAACAGCAAACAUUUUUGUGCUAUCAUACAGUGUCAGUGUGCUGUAGGACGAGAUCCAAUCUAUUGACUGACUCAAGUUUAGCACUCAAGGAUAACUGAACUGCGGACAAACAUACCUUGUAAAUCAUAGUCAGUUCUAAUUGUAAUUAAUCGAUCCUUAUCAGUUAAUUAGUUAAUCCUUAUUAAUCAGUUAGUAAAAAAGAGAAGAAUACAAUUGGUCGUGAACUAGACUAGUCAGUCAUCAAACGUUGCUUAUAACCCCCUGGCGGCAGUGUUUUCAAAUCUACAUAUGAUAUUAGGAUUAGCCUUUUUAUGAGAUAUUUGGGAAGUCACAAUGUAUUGGGAAAAAGCAGUGUAAGUCCUGCCGGUAUUAUUUUUAGAAAGUGAUAUAUGACUUAGGUAUCAAACGUAAGAACCUCAGGGUUGGUAAAACUGUAGACUGUAUACCGUAAUAGUACCUACUCCUGCCGAUUGGUCAAUAAAUAGAUGUUAUUUUUAAGAUCGGCAACUUCAAUAUCUUUCACAUAGUUGCGUAACAUCUUGUACGUUAGUGUUAAACAGUACAUACCGCUAAGGCUAUAUAUCAUUUGGGCAAUCGCCAUACACAAUUGGGCUGUUCAGAGCUUCGUAACUUGCGUGGACGAUUUAGCAAGAACCAGUCCUAAACGAGUUUGUUACAUUUUAGCUGUUUGGCAACUCUGGGUGCUUGCUUCUCACGUAGAAGCGACAAGGUUGAUGUUGGCUCAGAUAUAGUAAACCCAGUUAGCGAUACCGGGGUCCUCCCCGGGCUAAGUAUUCGCCCUGCUUUCCUUUUCUUAAUUGUAUAAUGAACGCCGUCUGUUGACGGAUCAAAGGAUCCCUAGUCGAGUGGUAAGAAUCUUAAAUGCGCAGCAUAAUUAAUUAUAUCACAGAACGAAAAAGCUUCUAAUUAAGGAAAAACACCGCUCAUUGCAAGCCACUGUCUAUUUAUUCAAAUUGCGGGCCUUGACAAAAUCGCAGAGACUGCUUGCUUGCAACUUGAAUAAGGCGAACGGCCGAGGCAGUAGUAGUCGCACUUUCAACGCUUCGUGGAGUCUAAUCCUACACAACGUAGAUGCACGUCGUACUGUUCGCUGCGCCGGCAGCUUCUGUCUGUGCUUCUUCCUUCUUUCUCCCGUUUGCCCCCUGCUUUCCCGUUUACUUCCUUUCAUCCAGCUCUUCCACUCUGUUUCUUCUGACCCAAAUCUCUCUUUUUUAUUUUUUCCCUUUCUUUUCCUUUUUCCCAUGAUUUCUGUUUCUCGCCCUCUCGGCCGUCUUUCUUUCUCAAUCACUUGUUCGUUUUUUGUUGCCCCCAUUCUCACGCCCUCUCUUGUCUGCCUCCUCUGCCAUUGCCCUCUUUGGUUGCAGUACGAACCACAGGAUGUUGAUAAUGACGAAGUCGGCGUGCUUGUUCAGUGGUGACGUGGCUACCUACCAGCAUUAUGCAGGACCUCAUGUGAUAUAUAUACAUAUGUUGGGAUCGGUAGUAGAUACAGUAUCCGUAUUGUGGGAUAGGAGUA
rnacentral:lncRNA from 1 species